rnacentral:rRNA from 1 species
AGAUCAAUUUGUCGGUUGUGCCUCGGUACGUACUGGCAUUAUUGAUUCCUCCCUACUGAAGAACCGCGAUGUCAUUAAUUUGGUGUCGUGGGAAUCAGGACUGUUACUUUGAAAAAAUUAGAGUGUUUAAAGCAGGCUUACGCUUGAAUACAUUAGCAUGGAGUAAUGAAAUAGGACGUUUGAUUCUAUUUUGUUGGUUUCUAGGAUCGACGUA